rnacentral:rRNA from 1 species
UGUAUAAUGGGUCAGCGACUUAUAUUCUGUAGCAAGGUUAACCGAAUAGGGGAGCCGAAGGGAAACCGAGUCUUAACUGGGCGUUAAGUUGCAGGGUAUAGACCCGAAACCCGGUGAUCUAGCCAUGGGCAGGUUGAAGGUUGGGUAACACUAACUGGAGGACCGAACCGACUAAUGUUGAAAAAUUAGCGGAUGACUUGUGGCUGGGGGUGAAAGGCCAAUCAAACCGGGAGAUAGCUGGUUCUCCCCGAAAGCUAUUUAGGUAGCGCCUCGUGAAUUCAUCUCCGGGGGUAGAGCACUGUUUCGGCAAGGGGGUCAUCCCGACUUACCAACCCGAUGCAAACUGCGAAUACCGGAGAAUGUUAUCACGGGAGACACACGGCGGGUGCUAACGUCCGUCGUGAAGAGGGAAACAACCCAGACCGCCAGCUAAGGUCCCAAAGUCAUGGUUAAGUGGGAAACGAUGUGGGAAGGCCCAGACAGCCAGGAUGUUGGCUUAGAAGCAGCCAUCAUUUAAAGAAAGCGUAAUAGCUCACUGGUCGAGUCGGCCUGCGCGGAAGAUGUAACGGGGCUAAACCAUGCACCGAAGCUGCGGCA